GUGGGGAAUCUUGCGCAAUGGGGGCAACCCUGACGCAGCCAUGCCGCGUGAAUGAUGAAGGCCUUAGGGUUGUAAAGUUCUUUUGCCCGUGACGAUGAUGACGGUAACGGGAGAAUAAGCUCCGGCUAACUUCGUGCCAGCAGCCGCGGUAAUACGAAGGGGGCUAGCGUUGUUCGGAAUUACUGGGCGUAAAGCGCGCGCAGGCGGUUCGAUAAGUUAGGGGUGAAAUCCCCGGGCUCAACCCGGGAAUGGCCUUUAAGACUGUCGAGCUAGAGGACGAGAGAGGUGAGUGGAAUUCCCAGUGUAGAGGUGAAAUUCGUAGAUAUUGGGAAGAACACCGGUGGCGAAGGCGGCUCACUGGCUCGUUUCUGACGCUGAGGCGCGAAAGCGUGGGGAGCAAACAGG
rnacentral:rRNA from 1 species